GACGAACGCUGGCGGCGUGCUUAACACAUGCAAGUCGAACGGAAAGGCCCUGCUUUUGUGGGGUGCUCGAGUGGCGAACGGGUGAGUAACACGUGAGUAACCUGCCCUUGACUUUGGGAUAACUUCAGGAAACUGGGGCUAAUACCGGAUAGGAGCUCCUGCUGCAUGGUGGGGGUUGGAAAGUUUCGGCGGUUGGGGAUGGACUCGCGGCUUAUCAGCUUGUUGGUGGGGUAGUGACUUCCACAGGCUUGGAUGGUUAGCCGGCCUGGGAGGGGGACCGGCCACAGGGGGCUGGGGGAAGGACCAGACUCCUACGGGAGGCAGCAGGGGGGAAUAUUGCACAAUGGGCGGAAGCCUGAUGCAGCAACGCCGCGUGCGGGAUGACGGCCUUCGGGUUGUAAACCGCUUUCGCCGGUGACGAAGCGUGAGUGACGGUAAUGGGUAAAGAAGCACCGGCUAACUACGUG
rnacentral:rRNA from 1 species